rnacentral:rRNA from 1 species
UACGUAGGGGGCAAGCGUUGUCCGGAAUCAUUGGGCGUAAAGCGCGUGUAGGCGGCCAGAUAAGUCCGCUGUGAAAUCUCGAGGCUCAACUUCGAGCUGUCGGUGGAAACUGUCUGGCUAGAGUCCGGAAGAGGAGAAUGGAAUUCCUGGUGUAGCGGUGAAAUGCGCAGAUAUCAGGAAGAACACCCGUGGCGAAGGCGGUUCUCUGGGACGGUACUGACGCUAAGGCGCGAAAGCGUGGGGAGCGAACAGG